rnacentral:tRNA from 1 species
GCCUGGGUGGUGGAAUUGGCAGACACUCGAGACUUAAAAUCUCGUGGGAGUUUCUCCCGUGCGGGUUCGAGUCCCGCCCCAGGCACCA